rnacentral:rRNA from 1 species
UAAAGAUUUAUUGGUAGGGGAUGAGCGUGCGUACUAUUAGCUAGUUGGUGGGGUAACGGCUCACCAAGGCGAUAAUAGUUAGGGGGCGUGAGAGCGUGAUCCCCCACACGGGUACUGAGACACGGACCCGACUCCUACGGGAGGCAGCAGUAAGGAAUAUUGGACAAUGGGCGCAAGCCUGAUCCAGCCAUCCCGCGUGCAGGAUGACGGCGCUACGCGUUGUAAACUGCUUUUGGACAAGAUGAAACCCUUCCAUUUAUGGGAGCUUGACGUUAUUGUCAGAAUAAGCACCGGCUAACUCCGUGCCAGCAGCCGCGGUAAUACGGAAGGUGCAAGCGUUAUCCGGAAUCACUGGGUUUAAAGGGUGCGUAGGCGGGCCUGUAAGUCAGAGGUGAAAGCCCACCGCUUAACGGUGGAAUUGCCUUUGAUACUGCGGGUCUUGAAUUAGGUUGAGGUUAGCGGAAUGUGGCAUGUAGCGGUGAAAUGCUUAGAUAUGCCAUAGAACACCGAUUGCGAAGGCAGCUAACUGGCCCUUGAUUGACGCUGAGGCACGAAAGCGUGGGGAGCGAACAGGAUUAGAUACCCUGGUAGUCCACGCCCUAAACGAUGUUUACUCGAUAUUCGCCGCCUAGCGGUGAGUGUCCAAGGGAAACCGAUAAGUAAACCACCUGGGGAGUACGUUC